CCCCGGUGGAAAGUCACAGCAGCGCGCCCGGAAGGACGGUCUGCAAGGUCUGCACGGUUUGCACGGUUUGCACGAGGAAGGUGGCGACCCCGGGCAGGCUCCGGCUUUGAGGGAUUUACAGCUAGCCUCGUUGAAUGAAGCUGGCAUAGACAGGAAAGUUAUGAGGUGUGGAGUUUCGCUCCCGUGUCCUGUGGUGACGUAAGCGUGGACCUCUGGCUCUGGGCAAGAGUGUCUCCAAGUUUUGCUGGCCUCAUCAGCAGCAUGGGGAAGAGGAGAAAGUUCUAUGAGAUCUGCUCCUUGACUUUACCUUUGGUCCACAAAGACCCUGUAGGAUUUUCACAUUUGUCUUCGGAAAGUCUGAACACGCCUGCCAGAUGGUUGACAGUGACCCCCACAAGACACAGAAUGGAGGCUUGGUGUGGUCCCGGUCCCUGCACGGGGCACACAAAAGUUGCCAAGUGGGUAUUGCAAGUUUUGAGGGACUUCAAAUAUCUCAGAGAAAAGAUGUGUAACUACACAUAGUCACGAAGAUAAUGAGUUCAUGGCUUACUCACUUCUCUUCACCCGGAAAAAUAAUGUACGCUAAAUGCUGUGUUUUUAAUCUGGGCCAAAUAACUUGGCUGAAAGCUCUCUGGGCUUAUCCUACUUGAUUCUACACACAGUCCUAAUAUGUAGGCUGUUACUGACACCCUUGUUUUAGAGAGAGGGAUGCUUUCCACAGAAAGGGGAAGCUGCUGAUGUCACGGACCUCACGAGGAAGGGAGCAGGUAUUCAAACCCAGGGAGACCGACUGAAUGCCGAUAUACUAACGACCAGACUAGACUUUGAGGGAUUUGCCCCCUUCCCCCCAGGGAGGGUGGUGUGGGUCUUGAGGACCUUUCAGGAUUGCACCCUACUCAUCCAGGAUUCUCCUCAAACAAUCCACAGGUUCCAAGCUCCCACUGGCAAAGCACCAGGAGCGAGUUACAAAGUGUGCUGAACUACCCAUGGAGGGGCCACAUCUGAUCUUCAGAGCAAGCCUCUGCCCCUUCCUCCCACCGGGUUCCAAUAUCCAAGAGUCAGACCUUAUGUUUCCAGCCCCUGGUGCGUAGAGGUGCUUGAUUAAAUCUUUUGAUAAGAAUUAAGUUUUGGUCCAUCACUGAGAAGAGAGCAUAAUUAACAGGCUUAAAAAAAAAAAAUAGGCUGCUUGUUAGAGCAGUUUUAGAUUCACAGUAACAUUGAGGGGACAGUACAGAGUGCUCCCUCACCCCUGCACCGGUUAUGGUUGAUGAACCUGCACGGAUCCACCAUCAUCACCCAGAGUCCAUAGUUCACGCCAGGGCUCACUCUUGGUGUUGUGCAUUCCGUGGGGUUCGACAACUGUAGAAGGACAUGCAUGCACCAGACAGUAUCAUUCAGAAUAGUCCCACUGCCCUAACAGUUCUCUGUGCUCUGCCUUCUAACGCUUCCCUACCCAGCCCCUGGCAACCACUGCUCUUACUGUCUCCGUUCUUUCGCCUUUUCUAGAAGGUCAUAUAGUUGGAAUCACUCAGUACAUUGCCUUUUCAGAUUGGCUGCUUUCGCUUAGUGAUUUGCACUUAAGGUUCCUCCUUGUCUGGUCACGGCUUGAUAGGUCAUUUCCCUUCAGUGCUGAGUAUUAGUCCAUUGUCUAAGGAGAGCAUAAUUUUCAUCUCAUAGAAAUGAAAAGCACUCCCUAGAUCCAUGGAAUUUGUACUGAACGUCGGAGCCAGAACCAGCACAGAACUGCUGGCACAUCCAGGAUCCACUGUCCCUAAAGAGACACAGAAAAUAUUUUUUUCCCCCUGAAUGGCAAUAGCGAUUGGAUCCUGACCCAUAGGUCCCCAUGAUAAAAAGCAGCCCAUGUGGCCCUGUCAUCUGAAGUGCGAACAGCUAUUAUGUAUACGGUCCAGUCUCAAGGACCGGCAUGCUUAGCUUCAUGAAUAAAGCGCUUGCUGGAAAUUGCACUUCUAGGUAUUUAUCCAAAGGAUGCAGGUGUGCUGAU